rnacentral:rRNA from 1 species
CAGUAGCCGCGGUAAUACGAGGGGGGCAAGCGUUGUUCGGAAUUAUUGGGCGUAAAGGGAGCGUAGGCGGUUUUGUAAGUCGUGUGUGAAAUCUUCGGGCUCAACCCGAAGCCUGCACACGAAACUGCAGGGCUUGAGUAUGGGAGAGGUGAGUGGAAUUCCUGGUGUAGCGGUGAAAUGCGUAGAUAUCAGGAGGAACACCUGUGGCGAAAGCGGCUCACUGGACCAUUACUGACGCUGAGGCUCGAAAGCUAGGGGAGCAAACAGGAUUAGAGACCCCUGUAGUCCCUGUCUCUUAUAC